UACGUAUGGGGCAAGCGUUAUCCGGAUUUACUGGGUGUAAAGGGAGCGCAGGCGGCCUGGCAAGCCUGAUGUGGAAUACCGGGGCCCAACCCCGGGGCUGCAUUGGGAACUGCCAGGCUGGAGUGCCGGAGAGGCAGGCGGAAUUCCUAGUGUAGCGGUGAAAUGCGUAGAUAUUAGGAGGAACACCAGUGGCGAAGGCGGCCUGCUGGACGGUGACUGACGCUGAGGCUCGAAAGCGUGGGGAGCAAACAGG
rnacentral:rRNA from 1 species